GUGUCAGCAGCCGCGGUAAUACAGAGGUCUCGAGCGUUGUUCGGAUUCAUUGGGCGUAAAGGGUGCGUAGGUGGCGCUGUAAGUCGGGUGUGAAAUCCUGAGGCUUAACCUCGGAACUGCAUUCGAUACUGCGGCGCUUGAGGACUGGAGAGGAGACUGGAAUUCAUGGUGUAGCAGUGAAAUGCGUAGAGAUCAUGAGGAAGACCAGUGGCGAAGGCGGGUCUCUGGACAGUUCCUGACACUGAGGCACGAAGGCCAGGGGAGCAAACGGGAUUAGAUACCCCCGUAGUCC
rnacentral:rRNA from 1 species